rnacentral:tmRNA from 1 species
GGGGCUGACUGGUUUCGACGCUGGGACCGUUGGCUCGUCGUGCGACCCGAGUUGCUCAGACUCGAUAAACGGGGCAAACAAAACAAGUGCCAACAGCACUGCUCGUAACUUCGCCGUCGCGGCCUAAGAACCGCGAGGGACAGUUACAUUGCGACCCGAGAGGGCACGCCGAGGACGACCCUUUGCCUUGGGAACAGAAUGAGGGUUGACGGCGGGAAAGACCGCUGACACGAAGGGAAAGACCGACUGGCCUCACGGAAAGACGUGACGAACAUCCGGGACCCGGCCCGGGGGUAGCGUCAAGCCCGUAGCUCGGGAACGGUCGUAGCACGGGGAGUCUGCACCGAGCGGACGAGGGUUCGAUUCCCUCCAGCUCCACCC